rnacentral:rRNA from 1 species
CAGCCGCCGCGGUAAUACGGAGGGUGCAAGCGUUAAUCGGAAUUACUGGGCGUAAAGCGCACGCAGGCGGUUUGUUAAGUCAGAUGUGAAAUCCCCGAGCUUAACUUGGGAACUGCAUUUGAAACUGGCAAGCUAGAGUCUUGUAGAGGGGGGUAGAAUUCCAGGUGUAGCGGUGAAAUGCGUAGAGAUCUGGAGGAAUACCGGUGGCGAAGGCGGCCCCCUGGACAAAGACUGACGCUCAGGUGCGAAAGCGUGGGGAGCAAACAGGAUUAGAUACCCCGGUAGUCCCUGUCUCUUAUAC